ACUAAUUCAAUAAUCUGAAAGAACAAGCUGUCAUCUUAACAUGUUCACUUUACUACUUCUUCAAUUAAUUUCAUUGUAGUUUCUAUAAUUCAUUGCUUAAUGGUAUGCUGUAUUAUAUGAAUAUUUAUUUGAAUUUUUCAGCCGGUAAGUGUCAAGUAGCAAACAGAUAAGUAUAGCGUACAAUUAUCUAUGCAAUUUAUAAUAUAACAAUAUUUAUACAAUGGUGUUAGUAGAGUAGUAAAGUAAAACAAUAAACAUACCAUGAAAAUGAUGUGUGAUAGACUCGCGUUCCGUCUACAAAAGAGGCGGAAAUACCAAACAGACAUUCAAACUUAUUAGUCGAACAUAAACUGACAACGCCAUAGCAUGAACCUAAACAGUCAAAACGACAAACAACAGUAUACAAACAACAAAAAAACCGGGAUUGAUUUCAUGUGCUGUUUUCUAAAUUUAUCUUAACAGGAAACGCUCAAAGCAGAAAUGUGUGAAUCAAAGGACGUAUAAUAAUCAACAUAGUUCAAGUAUAUGACCAUAGAGAACAUACACGAAAAUAAUUAUAUCAACUUAACGUCAACAUUACUUGAGGAGGUUAAAACCUAAGUUUCUUUAUAAUUUAUAAAUUUAUAAAGCGACACUUUGAAAUCAUACAAAUAUAACAUUUCAAUAUUUGGCAUGACUAAUGACUUUAGUAGUGAAUAAUCUGACAGACCAAGCUGUCAUCUUGAAUUGUUCUACUAUCACGUUACUACAAAUUCAAUUAAUUUCAUUUUUGUUGUAAUAAUUCAUUGCUCAAUGGUAUGUUGUAUUCUAUGAAUAUUUAUUUGAAUUUUCCAGCUGGUAAGUGUCAAGUAGCAAACAGAUAAGUAUAGCGUACAAUUAUAUAUGCAAUUUAUAAUAUAACAAUAUUUAUAUAACUGUGUCAGUAGUGUAGUAAAGUAAAACAAUAAACAUACCAUUUAAAGAGAGAAAUAGUCGAAAAAAGUAUUUAGAAAUGUGUUGGUAAAACACUAUUAUCUGCUUUUCUUUAAAACAACCCCUUUGAAAAAAUUAUAAGAAAUUGUAUUUUUAGAUAAUUGUUGUCAAGUAUUGAAAUAUGAGAAUACAUUAUGAAAUAAUAUGGCUUGAUUAUGACAAUUAAUAGUUUAUAAAGCUUGAAUCAUGUGAUUAUUUAUGCAGCCACUGGAUAUGCUUAUUACGUGAAACUAUCCAAAUUGGUAUGUCCUUAUGUUUGCAUAAGGGAGACAGUAUUUAACUGAUGCCCAAAAUGUCACUUUAUGUUUAGUCUUGUUUAUUCUUUUUGAUUAUACCUAUCAUUUAAUUGCUGUUCAAACAAUAGAAUGUUGUGCUACAUACCAUGUAUAAACUCCUGAUUAUGCAGUAACUACUCAUCAAUAGGCGAUCAGCAAAAGCACAUCACAUAAUCAAUAUGCUAGUAUAUUCAUGAUAUAAAUUCCAAUUGUUUGUUCUACUAUGAUUGCUAUAUAAUUCACUACUGGACACCAUAGAUACAAAACACCUAUAGACAAAAUUGAUGCUUUUGUGAUUUGUAUAUAACUCUAAAAGAGAAGAUAAUGACUUUACAACUAUUUUUUGGGAUAUAGAUAUUCGUGUUCUCCACUUGGUUUGUCAUUUUUUAUAUCUAUACUUCGUUUGAAUAGCUACCACAUUCAAGAAAACACAGUUUCUAGUUAAGAAAACCAAAAACCUCAAAACAAUAUGCUGAACAUAUUCAGUAAAAUUUAUAAACUGGUGUUUUUGAGAUGAGUAAUUGCUGUAUCGUGAUUGUCUCAAAUUAUUCCUCAUUUUAAACUAGCAUUUUUUUUUAAAUUUUUUUUUAUUAUUUUUCAGUCUAAUGUAAGUAUUCUGUACCAUAAAAGAUAAGUAUAUUGCAAUUAUUUGACAAAAAAUGAAGAAUGAAAGAAUAAUAGAUAGUGAAUGUUGUGUAUGGUGCUUUUAUUGAAAUUGGACUAUGUAAAAACAGUUCUAAUCAAUAAAGACGAAAUUAUAUAGAGGUAACAAAACCCAUUCGUAUAUUAGAAGCAAUCCGAUAUUUAGAUCAGUAUGAUUUUAAAUGAAAUGCUAAGUAAUCUAACUUCAAACGUAAACAAAUAGACAAUACAAUUCGUAUUGUUGUUUAUAACUAUUUUUAACAACACCUUGUUUUUUCUCUAGUAAUAUAAAAAUAUAUUUCAAGUAUUAAAUACUUUCGUGAAGAUCUUCAAUGAAAGAUUUAUUAUUUUAACAAAUCUAAAUGUUAUGAAUGUCUUUAACCCAACGAAUAAUAUAUUGAAAUAAACAGAUUGAUAACUGUAUUUGGACAAAAUGCUUCCAAAUUGAUUAAAACGUUGUAUAGGUAAAUCAUUACGACUUAAUAACCUGACAAAUACACUGCCAGUAGUAACAGAGUAUUCCGUAAAACAGUAUAGAAACUUUAUAAAGAGAUCAGGUUUAUAAUGUUGUACAUUUAUCUGUAAACGGACAAUAUUUGAAAGCUUUAUAACCCUUGAUAUGGACAGUUAACCUAUCAUCACUCGCAUAUGGAAGUUUUAUAUUUUUAAUUGAUAAAAGAACAAACAUGUUUUUCAGUUGCAUUUGUUAUUUGUUAUGACAGUAAGACAUAACAGGCAAUAUAAGACUGAAGUUUAACCAGUGCUUCAGAACACAUUAUAUGUUUGUUAUAUUAAAAUUUUACAAACACAAAAUUUUAAUUUUUGCAUGAUUACUGACUUUAACAUUCAACAAAAAGCUGUCAGUUCUACUAUCACUUUACUACUUAUACUACGGUUGCUUCUAUAACACUUAUACUACGGGGCUUCUAUAACUAAUUGCUAGAUAGUAUGAUGUAUUGUAUGAUCAUUUACUUGAUUUGAUAUUUUUUGCAGUCGGUGAGUGAAUAGUUUCAAACAGAUAAUCAUAGUUUACCAUUAUAUCGCAAUUUAUAACAUGACAAUAGUCUUUGACACUUGAAUAAUGUACUUCAUGUACUUAAUUAUGCAGGUUGCAUAACGCGGAAUGAUCUUAUUGCGUUACGAUAUUCAAAGUUCUGCAAAUAUAGUAUACGUUUAAUAUGUCCGUAUUUCUGCAAAAAGGUGACAAUAUGUCUAAAUUGUAACAAUAUUUUUUUUUUAUCUUGUAUCUUCUUUCUCAUUAUUCCUUCCAUGUUAUAUAUCUAUAUGGCCAAGCAAUGUAUUAAUUCCCGAUAUGUACAUAUUAUGCUGUUAACCAGAAUUCCAGGUUAUUUGAUUAAUCGUCGCCAUGCAAAGUUGUUUCCGAUUAAUAAUAAAUGUAUGACGUCUGUUUUUAAAACAUGGUUCUAGAAUUACAAAAACAAAAAAACAUGUGUUGUCUUUUGUGUAAUUUAAUAUAUAUAUAUCAUACUAUUACUAUUUCAAAUAUAUGUAUUAUUUAACUUUAGUCGGUAACUGUCAAGUACCAAAUCGUAAACUAAAACUACAAACUUUGAACAUUUGUUGUCAUAUGAAUUAUAUGACAAAUGGCAGUCUUCUUAUAAAAGUGGAAAAAGGUGAUAGUUGCAAUGUUUGACAAUAUAAAAACAGUUGCAUAAAUAACACUGUUACUUUGCUUAUAAAAAAAUCAAAAUGUGAUAGAAUUGACAAUGAGACAGCUACCCAAUAUAGAGUAAAUGAUGUUGAUGGUAGUUGCAAUUAGUCACAUUACGGGCUUUUCCAAUAGUGAGAAAUGCAAAUACCGUAUAUUAAGUAAGCUAAAAAAAUCCCAAAAUGACAAUAUGUGAACUAUAGAACUUACACUGUUAGGUCCGAUAGGUAAAUACAUUUUGACAAAAGUCAUGAUAUAAUAUGUUCUCUUUGUAGCUGUACCUGUGGAGAAUUGCUGAAUCACAUAUGGGAGUAAAUAUACAGCCAGUAACAAACAUUUGCAAGACACAGAAAUGAUAUAAAACACUUUCUUCUGAUAAAACAAUAAUGGAAAACAAAUAUAAUGUUUCCUUGUUUUAUUUGUAUGUUAGUUUUAUGUUGAAAUAUGUACGAUUCUGACAACAUAAAAAGACAAACUUUGCAAAUAGUUUACUAAAAUGGAUCACACGAAUCAUUCAUACUUUGAUAUUUUCGUAUAUCAGAUAAUAAUUAAAUUUUCUCUCGUGACUUAAUAUUAUAUUAAUUUCGAAAUAAUUAGCUACACUUCAUAAAAAUCAAGUGUUACAAAACUACAAUGAAUUAUUGUCAUGUUAGUGUCUGUUGUUAGAAAAAUAACCUAAACCAUUCGAAUUGAUUCUACUUUUCUAUGUAUCCUACAAUUAAUUUUAGAGUAGAACCUUACGUAUUAAAAAGCAUUAUAACGUGUCGUUUAAGUAUUUAAGCAAUUGAGGCGAAACAAAUUAAAAUUGAACAUUUUUCUAGUACUUCAAGCUUUUGUUCAAGUUAACCACAAUAUGUCUUUACCCUACAUUGUAUUUCUAAAUGUGAAAUCAAUCAUCAGACAUAUAUAUGAUUAAUCCGUUUUUUCUUCCAUUAAACUAGUAACCACGUAGAUUGUAUUAUAUAUCCAUUUAGUAUUUUAGUAAUAUGUAUAUUUUUUGUGAAUGUUAAUUUUCUUGUUUUAUAGAAUUUUAUGAUUAUAUUUCAAUACGUAUUCUUUCUUUUUAAUGACACAAACCUUGCAACUGCUUUGACUAGAAUUUUUUUUAACUGUUUUGCUAACAUCGAAAACAAGUCCAGUAACCCGCUCGACUCCGUUCGUCAUUCCGUCCUUUCGUAAUUCCUUUCGUACGUCCAAAAGACCUUUGAUAGAAAACUUUCGUCAAAGUAUUCGCUGCUUCGUUGAAAGAGAAUUAUCUUAUAUUUGGCGUGCAGCUUGAUAAUGUUGAAUUGUAGCGUGUAAAACAAUUGUUAUAUCCGCUGUGCAGCCACUUUCUGUUUGCUGAUAGUUCGAAAUAUUACAACUCUGAUUGUACAAGGACAAUUUUCGUCAAAGUUUUCUUGGCUUGAUUGAAUGGAAGUGACAAGGUAUGUUUUCGUGUACAAGUCCCUCAAUCAAUAGACCAGUUUCCAGUUUUUAGCAUUUUCGUCAAAAUCUUUGGUUUUAGUGAACAUCAUUCGUGCGUUUAGGGGCAUCGUCACUUCCUUCCAAUGUUGAGCGAGCGGUUAAAAAAUAUGAUUCUAUGUUGCUCUAAUCAUUCGGCAAAUUAAAUUCUUAGAAUUGAUAAUCAGCGCAGCUGUCAUUAGGGAAUUGUGAUUAAGUACCUACGGAACAAACAUAAUUUUUAGAUUAGCCUGCAUAAUGAUGAUCACGAAGAUGCUUGAUGAACUUUAAAAGUGCAGGGAUACAGGCGGUCCCCUCUAUCAGGAAAAUGACGUCAUAAAGGCGCGCAUAAUUGACAAACUUUUUUUGGCGAAGGACAUAACUCGAAAGGUGUCUAUUGUAUGCUGUGACGCAGAUCCAGACACGGUGUUUCUCUUGUUUUAAAUACGAUAGAGAAAAUUGUUAAAUAAUCUUGCAAACACAUGGAUCGGUCGUACUUUUAUAUCUACUGAUAUCGGAUAAUGAUAAAAUAUCUUAGUUUAUACUUUACGCUCGUGCCUGUUAACAAUAUACAUAAUUCAUUAACACGGGUGUGCUUAUUACUGAAAACUUGCUCCACACUGUUAAGAGAAAAAACGACUGAAAUCGCCAAUUUAUAAAUUUUACGAAUUGGUUGACCGAUAUGAUAUGUUUGUGUCUCAAAUCAUUAGCUACAUGUUUUAAAUCGUUUGAUAAAGGUACAUGUUUCUGAUUCUGUCCGAUUGUUACAUUCUGUAAGCAUUCACUUCUUACGGAUUUAAGGAAUAAAAUUACAUAAGUUAUUAAUAGUUUGAAUCUGAAAUAAAAGUUUAAACACAAAAAACGUAGCUGUGAAUAUGAACGUAAAUGUCAUGUAGUGUAAGGAAUAUGCACUGGAAAUUACCCAAAAAUAUCUUGGAGUAUAUUUAAACCUUCAGGUAGCUUCACUAAAGCAAAUGAAUAUUUAUGUAAAAAAGCAAGGAAAGCAUCAUUUUGAAUUGACAAAGCACUGCAUUCAGACAAACUAAAUGUAUUACCAAAUCUUAAAUUAUUUGACUCAUGUGUAAAACCUAUACUUCUUUACUGUAGUGAAAUUUUAUGUCUAGAUACUUUGUUGAAAAACAAUGCUUCCAUGGAGUCUAGCUAUUUGUUUAUAUCAACCUGUGAAAGUACAAAUUAAAUUUGCUAAAUACAUCUUAUGAGUUAACAAAACUGCAUCAAAUUUGGCAGUUUUGGGAGAAUUGGGUAUGAUCCCAUGUUCUGUUGAUGAUUCUAAACUUUGUGUAGGUUACUGGCAUCAUUUAGUCAAUUCAAAUCCAGAUAGUUUAAUAAAAAAGAUUUAUUCAUCAAGUGUUAAUAAUAACUCAGACUGGUAUAGAACAAAAAUGAAAUUGUUAUUUGAUAAAGAUGGAUUUAAACAUGCUGGGAAAAUCAAAAUGCAUUUAGUAAAAAUCGUUUAACUUUUGCUAUAUAUAAAAAACUGAAAAAUGAAUUUAUAAAAUUUUGGGACCAUUCCAUUUCAAAAAGUGUUAUUGAUAAAAGAGGAAACAAAUUAAGAACCUACAAGGAUUUGAAGAAGACAUUUGAUAAGGAGAACUUUUUAAAAUUAGAUAUAGACAGAGCUGAUAUUCCAACUAUGUAAGAAAAAGGAUAAGUAAUAGUAUCCUUAUGAUUGAAAAAGGCAGACAUAAAAAGAUUGAUUUAGAAAACAGAUUAUGCCCCUAUGUACAUUUGAAGUUGAAGAUAAAUUACACUUUACCAUAAAAUGUACCAACUCAAUGAUUUUAGGAAUAAAUGUUUUCGGAAUAUUUUACCAUCUUUCAAUAAUCUUUCAGACAUUGAAAAAUUCAAUUUCAUAUUUCGAAAUAAUGAUUAUGAUGUCAGUAAAUGUGGCAUAAAAGGUAUUAAUGAGAUGUACAAGUUCAGACGUUCACUGACUUAAGUUGUUUUAUGUUAUAUAUUACAUAAUAUGUAUUACUAGUAUCUAAAACUGUACCUCCUCAGUCAAAUAAAUAGAAGGGAAAAAAAAUAUAUUGAAAAAUUUCAAGAUUUUAUAUAUAUCUCUUUAUAUAUAGAUUCUACCACUGCAUCGAGAGUGAUACGAUAUUUAUCUACUCGAGACAGUAACAUUUUUAAAAUGUAACUGUCGAGAGUGGAUAAAUACCGUAUUACACGAGAUUUGGUGGUGGAAUCUGUUUCUCUACUGAUUUUCAAACAAUACGCAGGCAAAUUUAUUCCUUCUUUUCGAAUGAUCUGCAAAAAGAUGUGUUCUUUCUAUGUGACGUCAUCAGGCAUGGUCGCCUUUUUUCAUGCCGUCACAAUAGGAAAUUCAGAGGAAAGCAAGAAAAUUCGACGUCAUAAUCGGAUUUUAGCCAAUGAAGAACUGAGAUCAAACGAACCACACGUUGAUUAAUUUUUUUUUAUACAAUGGGUGCAGAAAGGGAUUAAUUGACGAAGAAUUAAAGAAAUAUAUAUAUUUUUUUGUUAUGUUCUGUAUUGAUAUAUAAUUGAUUGUAAUGAUUUAUGUUUGUUCUUUGUUUGUGUGUUGAUGACAAUCUAAAUUUUGGAUUUUAUAUCAAUAAAAUCCUUGACUUUGA